UCUCCGUUGGUGAACCAGCGGAGGGAUCAUUACCGAGUUCAAAACCAUACCCCUUGUUCCACCAAUAACUGUUGCUUCGGCGCCUCGCCGUCGGGCGAGCCCGCCGGUAAUCUCAGUAUUUCUGUUUGGGCCCGCCGAUACUUCUGAGUGUUCUUAGCGAACAGUUAAAACUUUUAACAACGGAUCUCUUGGCUCUG
rnacentral:misc_RNA from 1 species